AUUGAACGCUGGCGGCAUGCCUUACACAUGCAAGUCGAACGGUAACAGGUCUUCGGAUGCUGACGAGUGGCGCACGGGUGAGUAAUACAUCGGAACGUGCCUAGUAGUGGGGGAUAACUACUCGAAAGAGUGGCUGAUCCCGCAUGAGAUCUACGGAUGAAAGCAGGGGAUCGCAAUACCUUGUGCUCCUAGAGUGGCCGAUGGCAGAUUAAGUAGUUGGUGGGAUAAAAGCUGACCAAGCCGACGAUCUGUAGCUGGUCUGAGAGGACGAUCAGCGACACUGGGACUGAGACACGGCCCAGACUCCUACGGGAGGCAGCAGUGGGGAAUUUUGGACAAUGGGCGAAAGCCUGAUCCAGCAAUGCCGCGUGCAGGAUGAAGGCCUUCGGGUUGUAAACUGCUUUUGUACGGAACGAAAAGCCCCGGGUUAAUACCCUGGGGUCAUGACGGUACCGUAAGAAUAAGCACCGGCUAACUACGUGCCAGCCGCCGCAGUAA
rnacentral:rRNA from 1 species